CAGACAUACUGACACACACACAGACAUACAUACUGACACACACACAGACAUACAAACUGACACAGACAUAUACUGACUGGCACAUACAUACUGACACUCACACAGACAUACAAACUGACACACAGACAUAUACUGACUGACACAUACAUACUGACACUCACACAGACAUACUGACACACACAAAGACAUACUGACACACACAAAGACAUACAUACUGACACACACACAGACAUACAUACUGACACACACACAUACAUACUGACACACAGACAGACAUACAAACUGACACACCGACAGACAUACAAACUGACACACAGACAUACAAACUGACACACAGACAGACAUACAAACUGACACACAGACAGACAUACAAACUGACACACAGACACUCUUCAGUUUCCUACCUUUGAAAGAGGCUUCCUUCCCUGGGGUCCAGUGUGCUGGCUGGGGUAGUUGGGAG